UACGAAGGGGGCUAGCGUUGUUCGGAAUCACUGGGCGUAAAGGGCGCGUAGGCGGCUUUAUAAGUCGGGGGUGAAAGCCUGUGGCUCAACCACAGAAUUGCCUUCGAUACUGUAGAGCUUGAGACCGGAAGAGGUAAGUGGAACUGCGAGUGUAGAGGUGAAAUUCGUAGAUAUUCGCGAGAACACCAGUGGCGAAGGCGGCUUACUGGUCCGGUUCUGACGCUGAGGCGCGAAAGCGCGGGGAGCAAACAGG
rnacentral:rRNA from 1 species